GCAUUGGUGGUAUCGUGGUGAGCAUAGCUGCCUUCCAAGCAGUUGACCCGGGUUCGAUUCUCGGCCAAUGCA
rnacentral:tRNA from 1 species